AUACGUAGGGGGCGAGCGUUGUCCGGAAUGAUUGGGCGUAAAGGGCGCGUAGGCGGCGCGGUAAGUCUGGAGUGAAAGUCAUGCUUUAAAGGUGGGAAUUGCUUUGGAUACUGCCGCGCUUGAGUGCAGGAGAGGUUAUCGGAAUUCCCGGUGUAGCGGUGAAAUGCGUAGAGAUCGGGAGGAACACCAGUGGCGAAGGCGGGUAACUGGACUGCAACUGACGCUGAGGCGCGAAAGUGUGGGGAGCAAACAGGAUUAGAUACCCUGGUAGUCCACACUGUAAACGAUGAAUGCUAGGCGUAAGAGGUAUCGACCCCUUUUGUGCCGGAGUCAACACAAUAAGCAUUCCGCCUGGGGAGUACGGCCGCAAGGUUGAAACUCAAAGGAAUUGACGGGG
rnacentral:rRNA from 1 species